AACGCGAAGAACCUUACCUACCCUUGACAUCCUAAGAAUCUUAUAGAGAUAUGAGAGUGCCGAAAGGAACUUAGAGACAGGUGCUGCAUGGCUGUCGUCAGCUCGUGUUGUGAGAUGUUGGGUUAAGUCCCGUAACGAGCGCAACCCUUAUCCUUAGUUACCAGCAUGUAAUGGUGGGGACUCUAAGGAGACUGCCGGUGAUGAACCGGAGGAAGGCGGGGACGACGUCAAGUCAUCAUGGCCUUUAUGGGUAGGGCUACACACGUGCUACAAUGGGCAGUACAGAGGGAAGCGAAGCCGCGAGGUGAAGCGAACCCCAGAAAGCUGCUCGUAGUCCGGAUUGAAGUCUGCAACUCGACUUCAUGAAGUCGGAAUCGCUAGUAAUCGCGAAUCAGAACGUCGCGGUGAAUACGUUCCCGGGCCUUGUACACACCGCUCGUC
rnacentral:rRNA from 1 species